rnacentral:misc_RNA from 1 species
GGCCUAUUAGAUUUGGAAACAAGUAUGUAUGAACUUUUGAGUGAUAAUAAACAAAACUUCCCAUUAUACAGCCAUGACCUCAAACUUUUUUGUGCUGCAUCUAUGGGCAGCUAUUGGGAGUAUAAGCUAAUAUUCCUUUUCUUAAUUUCUUUUCUCCCUCAAUGUUUUUCUUCAACUUCAGUAAUUAUUGUGAAACCGAAGCAUCCGAACAAGCAGUGAGAUCCGCAGAAAAAGAACCGCUAAAUGAGCAGUAAAUCAAAUAAAAAUACGAAAUUGCUAAUCAGACAAACAAAAAAGUUCACAAACCAGCUACAAAAAACAAAAUUAUUCGCAACUGAGAACACUAUAUAACCAGACCACAUCAAUAAAAGAAGCAAUUGAAAACACAGAGUA